rnacentral:rRNA from 1 species
GGGAGCUUGCUCCCUUAGGUCAGCGGCGGACGGGUGAGUAACACGUGGGUAACCUGCCUGUAAGACUGGGAUAACUCCGGGAAACCGGGGCUAAUACCGGAUGCUUGAUUGAACCGCAUGGUUCAAUCAUAAAAGGCGGCUUCGGCUGCCGUUUACAGAUGGACCCGCGGCGCAUUAGCUAGUUGGUGAGGUAACGGCUCACCAAGGCGACGAUGCGUAGCCGACCUGAGAGGGUGAUCGGCCACACUGGGACUGAGACACGGCCCAGACUCCUACGGGAGGCAGCAGUAGGGAAUCUUCCGCAAUGGACGAAAGUCUGACGGAGCAACGCCGCGUGAGUGAUGAAGGUUUUCGGAUCGUAAAGCUCUGUUGUUAGGGAAGAACAAGUACCGUUCGAAUAGGGCGGUACCUUGACGGUACCUAACCAGAAAGCCACGGCUAACUACGUGCCAGCAGCCGCGGUAAUACGUAGGUGGCAAGCGUUGUCCGGAAUUAUUGGGCGUAAAGCGCGCGCAGGCGGUUUCUUAAGUCUGAUGUGAAAGCCCCCGGCUCAACCGGGGAGGGUCAUUGGAAACUGGGGAACUUGAGUGCAGAAGAGGAGAGUGGAAUUCCACGUGUAGCGGUGAAAUGCGUAGAGAUGUGGAGGAACACCAGUGGCGAAGGCGACUCUCUGGUCUGUAACUGACGCUGAGGCGCGAAAGCGUGGGGAGCGAACAGGAUUAGAUACCCUGGUAGUCCACGCCGUAAACGAUGAGUGCUAAGUGUUAGAGGGUUUCCGCCCUUUAGUGCUGCAGCAAACGCAUUAAGCACUCCGCCUGGGGAGUACGGUCGCAAGACUGAAACUCAAAGGAAUUGACGGGGGCCCGCACAAGCGGGUGGAGCAUGUGGUUUAAUUCGAAGCAACGCGAAGAACCUUACCAGGUCUUGACAUCCUCUGACAUCCCUAAAAGAUAGGGCUUCCCCUUCCGGGGGCAGAAUUGACAGGUGGGUGCAUGGGUUGUCCUCCACCUCCNGGCCUUGAGAAUGUUGGGGUUAAAGUCCCCCCAA